rnacentral:rRNA from 1 species
GACGUAGGUGGCGAACGUUAUCCGGAAUUAUUGGGCGUAAAGGGUGCGUAGAUUGCCAGACAAGUUAACGGUGGGAAAUCGAGGCUCAACCUCGUGGAAGCUGGUAAUACUGUUUGGCUUGAGUGCAGGAGAGGUUAACGGAACUCCAUGUGGAGCGGUAAAAUGCGUAGAUAUAUGGAAGAACAUCAAUAACGGCGAAGGCAGUUAACUAUUCUGUUACUGACGUUGAGGCACGAAAGCGUGGGGAGCAAAACGG